AGCAAACAUCAUAGGAUAGAAACAAUACAAUUCUCGAUUUAAUUUAUUCAGAGUCAGAAGAAUAAUCUGAACUAGCAGAAUCAUUUUGAUGUUCAAACUCUUCUCCACCCUCUUCGUCUUCUACAUUGUCGCAAAUCUCUUCAACUUCUAUAUUUUUAAUAUCAACAAGGGGAAUGUCACCAACAGAUUGAUCUAUUUGUGUAAUCACUAGUUACUGCAUUUUGUUGGAGCGGUUUCGUUUCUUUCACCCCAUCAACUCUACUUCUUGGAUUUAUUUGUGGAACCGUAAUCCAUGGGUAUUGUCUCUCACCUACUUCGGGAUAUGGUAUGUAGCAAACCUGUUCCACUUGAGAUGCCAGAAUAAAUGGAUCGUACUUUCUUAACCGCUUAGUCGAGUUAACUUCCGUGACACCAUACUUUGUAACUCUAACACCUUUUGUACCCAGAUCGUACCAGUCACAUUUGAAGAGUAUACAUUUCAAAUUUAUGACUCCUGGAUACUCAACUUCCAAUAUAUCAGUAAUUUCACCAUAGUAGUCAAUCGAAUCUGUGCGAACCACGACCACAUCAUUUACUGUUUUCCUUUUAGUCAUUCCUGAACGUUUUAUAAAAACGUAGCCUCGAGUGCAAUACAUCGGGUACUACAUCGCCCUCGAUAGAGGACUUCCAACCAACUUUUCAAUCCAUGUUGGAUAUUGUUCUUGCCUACUUGCUGCUGAUUUGAUCUGAAGAUAAUUAAAUCAUAUUAGCAAUGAUAAUAAUUAGUAA
rnacentral:sRNA from 1 species